GCCCGAGUGGCGGAAUGGUAGACGCAGGGGAUUCAAAAUCCCCCGCCGCAAGGCGUGCGAGUUCGAGUCUCGCCUCGGGCACCA
rnacentral:tRNA from 2 species